rnacentral:rRNA from 1 species
GUAGGUGGCAAGCGUUGUCCGGAAUUAUUGGGCGUAAAGCGCGCGCAGGCGGUUCUUUAAGUCUGAUGUGAAAGCCCACGGCUCAACCGUGGAGGGUCAUUGGAAACUGGAGAACUUGAGUACAGAAGAGGAAAGCGGAAUUCCACGUGUAGCGGUGAAAUGCGUAGAGAUGUGGAGGAACACCAGUGGCGAAGGCGGCUUUCUGGUCUGUAACUGACGCUGAGGCGCGAAAACGUGGGGAGCAAACAGGGAUUAGAUACCCUGGUAGUCCACGCCGUAAACGAUGAGUGCUAAGUGUUAGGGGGUUUCCGCCCCCUUAGUGCUGCAGCUAACGCAUUAAGCACUCCGCCUGGGGAGUACGGCCGCAAGGCUG